rnacentral:rRNA from 1 species
AGAGUUUGAUCCUGGCUCAGAUUGAACGCUGGCGGCAUGCUUUACACAUGCAAGUCGAACGGCAGCACGGGGGCAACCCUGGUGGCGAGUGGCGAACGGGUGAGGAAUACAUCGGAACGUGUCUUUAAGUGGGGGAUAACGCAUCGAAAGAUGUGCUAAUACCGCAUAAUCUCUGAGGAGAAAAGCAGGGGAUCGUAAGACCUUGUGCUUUUGGAGCGGCCGAUGCCUGAUUAGCUAGUUGGUGAGGUAAAGGCUUACCAAGGCUUCGAUCAGUAGCUGGUCUGAGAGGACGACCAGCCACACUGGGACUGAGACACGGCCCAGACUCCUACGGGAGGCAGCAGUGGGGAAUUUUGGACAAUGGGGGAAACCCUGAUCCAGCCAUGCCGCGUGAGUGAAGAAGGCCUUCGGGUUGUAAAGCUCUUUCAGCUGGAACGAAACGGUUACGGUUAAUACCCGUGAUUAAUGACGGUACCGGCAGAAGAAGCACCGGCUAACUACGUGCCAGCAGCCGCGGUAAUACGUAGGGUGCGAGCGUUAAUCGGAAUUACUGGGCGUAAAGGGUCCGCAGGUUGUUUUGUAAGUCAGAUGUGAAAGCCCCGGGCUUAACCUGGGAACUGCGUCUGAAACUACAAGGCUAGAGUAUGGCAGAGGGGGGUGGAAUUCCGCGUGUAGCAGUGAAAUGCGUAGAGAUGUGGAGGAACACCGAUGGCGAAGGCAGCCCCCUGGGUCAAUACUGACGCUCAGGGACGAAAGCAUGGGGAGCAAACAGGAUUAGAUACCCUGGUAGUCCAUGCCCUAAACGAUGUCAACUAGUUGUCGGGCCUUAACGGGCUUGGUAACGUAGCUAACGCGUGAAGUUGACCGCCUGGGGAGUACGAUCGCAAGAUUAAAACUCAAAGGAAUUGACGGGGACCCGCACAAGCGGUGGAUUAUGUGGAUUAAUUCGAUGCAACGCGAAAAACCUUACCUACCCUUGACAUGUAUUGAACUCCGCAGAAAAGCGGAGGUGCCCGAAAGGGAGCAAUAACACAGGUGCUGCAUGGCUGUCGUCAGCUCGUGUCGUGAGAUGU